rnacentral:rRNA from 1 species
GGGAAACUCACCAGGUCCAGACAUAACUAGGAUUGACAGAUUGAUAGCUCUUUCUUGAUUUUAUGGGUGGUGGUGCAUGGCCGUUCUUAGUUGGUGGAGUGAUUUGUCUGGUUAAUUCCGAUAACGAACGAGACCUUAACCUGCUAAAUAGUCAGGCCGGCUUUUGCUGGUCGCGGACUUCUUAGAGGGACUGUCGGCGUCUAGCCGACGGAAGUUUGAGGCAAUAA